AGCACUUCCUGGAGCGGCACAGGGCCGGGGACAGGACAGGCAUGCAGGGAGCCUGCCCUGGCCCCGGUGCGCGCCGCUGCCACCCUGGAGCCACUUGAGAACUAACUAUUCAUGUGAAUAAGAGUUGCAAGAUAAAGUCCUUGGAUUGUGGUAGUUACUGCUGUUCAGCAAAGGAAAAUAUGAAAAAAGGCCAGAAAGUGUCACAAUUGUUUUAAGGAGAGACUAAAACAGGAAGGGGAAGAAGGAGGAAGCUAUCUAAGGAUAGGUUGAUGAGCAGGAGGU